rnacentral:rRNA from 1 species
ACGUAGGCGGCAAGCGUUGUCCGGAAUUAUUGGGCGUAAAGGGAGCGCAGGUGGGACGGUAAGUCCGUCUUAAAAGGCAGGGGCUCAGCCCCUGUAAGGGAUGGAAACUAUCGAUCUUGAGUGCCGGAGAGGAAAGCGGAAUUCCCAGUGUAGCGGUGAAAUGCGUAGAUAUUGGGAAGAACACCAGUGGCGAAGGCGGCUUUCUGGACGGCAACUGACACUGAGGCUCGAAAGCCAGGGGAGCGAACGG